GGGGGUGAACGGUCUCGACUCCGGACGUCGAGGCAGGGGAAGCGGGCCGAGGAAGGCGACGAUGAUCUCGUUAACCACGAAAUGUCGCAAAAGAAUAAGCGCCGAUAAUAACGCGCUCGCUAUCGCUGCCUAACUAGCAGCGAAGCCGUCAGCCCGGGAGUGCUUCCGGCCCGGGACCUGGCGUCGCUAGGAAGCUCACCGCUCGACUCGGCUUCGGGGUCGAGCGGAAAAGCCAACAGGAGCUGAGCCCGUCACCGGCCCGCCUGCGGGACCGGUGGGGCUGAGAAAAGCACAGCAGGCUGCGCCCGGAGAAGCCCUGGUUCCACGCCGGAGGACGCGGGUUCGAUUCCCGCCACCUCCACC
rnacentral:sRNA from 1 species